rnacentral:rRNA from 1 species
GUGCCAGCCGCCGCGGUAAUACGCAGGGGGCUAGCGUUGCUCGGAAUGACUGGGCGUAAAGGGCGCGUAGGCGGUUUGGACAGUCAGAUGUGAAAUCCCCGGGCUUAACCUGGGAACUGCAUUUGAUACGUCCAGACUAGAGUUCGAGAGAGGGUUGUGGAAUUCCCAGUGUAGAGGUGAAAUUCGUAGAUAUUGGGAAGAACACCGGUGGCGAAGGCGGCAACCUGGCUCGAUACUGACGCUGAGGCGCGAAAGCGUGGGGAGCAAACAGGAUUAGAUACCCCUGUAGUCC